ensembl:misc_RNA 7SK 7SK RNA
GGACAGGAAGGUGACCUAGUUGCUAUAUCUGUGCCCCUAUUGUCAGAGCUGAUCUGGCUGACCCGGCUGGUUAGGUGAGUAUCCCCUUCCUCCCUCACUGCUCUGUGUGUCCUUCCCAAAGCUAUGUGCUUAGAAGAAGAGGCUGUCUUCCUAUAGAAGAGGACUGUUGUUUGGUCGAGGGUCCAUGAGUAGCCACUCCCCUGAUAGAUCCUCCAAACAAGCCCCGGAAAACCCCACAGCAAACAACACACUUAACAGAAAUACAAAAUGUUUUGU